UUUUUUUUUUUUUUUUUUUUUUUUUUUUCUCGC
rnacentral:ribozyme from 1 species